UCCCGCCGGCUUGAGGACGCCGGUGGCAUGGUGCGGAAUAAAGGUGUACUGUAUAAUGUUUUUAGCAGGAACAGAUGAUCAAAUUCCCCAGGAAUGUUGUUGAUGUGGGUGAAAGAUUGGUCUGGUAUGAUUAAUUGAUUAUGAACAGCUGAUCAUGCUGUUUGCCUAGGCAAUGUUGUGGCUUCUAUGGGUUCAGGCCAAACCAUCCUGUUUCAUGCGAAAUUUUAUCUACCGUUGUAGUUGGCCAAAGAAGGGAUAAUUCGCUUCUGAGCACGGGCUCAGAUGCUCCUGCUGAU
rnacentral:lncRNA from 1 species